rnacentral:tRNA from 1 species
UGCUGAAUAGCUCAGUGGUAAGAGCAGUCGCCCGGCAAGCGAAAGACUCGGGUUCGAUUCCCGAUUCAGCGA